rnacentral:rRNA from 1 species
AUGGCGGUGGAGCACGAUGAGGCCGUGGCUUCGCCUUCGGUCACGGCCAGCAGGAAGAAGCGGGCGGCGUCCAGGCCGGCCUCCAACGGAGGGGAGGGCUCAUCGUCGCGAUGCAGCGGCGUGCACCGGAUGCGCCCCGGGAAGCACACGGUGCAGAUCAGGGUCCCGGGGCAGCAGCAAUCCGCCGGGGAGGCUGCCGGAGCGCACGGCGCGGCGGCCAUCAGGCUGCACGCCGCGGCCGCGAAGACCAACUCCAAGCAUCCUGCGGCUGCUGUGACGAAGUCCCGCUCGGGGCUCUUCGGCGCGCACGGGACCCCGAGCGGAGAGCACGGGGCGCAGAUCUGGCCCCGCACCACCGCCGAGGAGGCCGACAGAGCGGACGAGGUGGCGGCCAUCAGGCUGCACGGCACGGCGGCGGCCUUCACCGACGCCAUCCAGCACGGCGACGACGGGGACGCGCCGCUCCUGCGCGUCUCCUGCGAGGGCGAGGCGCCGGGGAACGCCGAUAGAAAUAAGAAGAAGCGGGCCGCGCCCAGGUCGGGGUUCCGCGGCGUGUACCGGCAUCCCCGGAGCGGCAGGUACUCCGCGCAGAUCCGGGACCCGGAGCGGCGAGCCAAGCUGUUCUGGCUCGGCAGAUUCGCCACGGGCGAGGAGGCCGCGAGAGCCUACGACAAGGCGGCUGUCACGCUGUACGGCGACAAGGCCGUAACCAACUACGAGCAGCCACGCACUGCCGCCAUCGACGGCGAGGAGUCGCCCAUGGACCUCUUCCCGGAGCUGCGCUCGAACAUUCAGGCCUGGAGGAAGGCAUUGGGCGCUCGGUCGAGGCACGCCGGCGUGCACCCGUAUCGCGGGGAGUACUCGGCGCAGAUCUGGGACCCGGUGUGGCUAGCUGACCAGGGGCUCGGCAGCUUCGGCGCCGCUGAGGAGACCGCCGGAGCAUACGACGCAGCGGCUGUCAGGAUGCGCGGCGCGGCGGCCGAAACCAACUUCAAGCAACCACCGCGCUCGGUCGCUGCUGCGGAUGACGGUGAGGUGUCGGCCAUGGACCUCAACGACUUCCUGGAGGUGGAGCUGCCGGCGCUCGACUUCCUCCCUGACAGCAUCACCCCAGAUGCACAGCUGGACGAUCUCUCGACUGGCUUGCCCCUGGUGGAGUUGCAGCAGGUGGAUGAGCUCCUCGAGGACAUGGGCUUCACCGAUAUGCUGGCCAGGGCUCAACGUACAGGUGCUCCUAGUCCUACAUAG